rnacentral:lncRNA from 1 species
UUGGUGUGUACUCCAACAUAUCACUUCUUCAUUAUUUACAUUGCACCCUCUCACUCGCUCUUGUUUCAUUCCCAAAAAACUUAGGGUUUUUUCUUUUUUACCGAUUUUUAUACAAUAUCCUCCAUCGACCUUCAUUCUGUAUAGUUUCGUAGAUCUGCCGUCGUUCUAGCUGAAAAUCUUACUAGAGUUGCAUUAUUACAUCUCAUCCAACCCCCUCUCUCUUGCUCGUAGCUUUAUACCCGAAAAAGUAUGUUUUUUGCCGAUUUUGUGUACGAUAUUCCUCGAUUAGCUUUAAAUCCAUAUAGCUUUUUCUGCCUUCGUCAACGUUGCCGCUUCUGAACUCGAUUGAGGGGUGGUGGCAAGGGUUUUCGUUGAAUCAUUUUGGGAAUAUCGCUAACUUGAUAACGACACACGAAUUCAAAAAAGUAUUUCAUCGCAGUUUGAAAAGGAAAGCGCUUUCAGAAUGUUGAAAAGGGGAAAAAGAAAAUUAGAUGGAAUUGCGCACUUGAUAGCGGAGUGGGCUAGUGGCCUGUAUAAUAUGAUGACUGUAGUUGGCCUUGUAAGGAGAUUGAGCUAGUGCAAGUUCACGCCAAACAAUGAGUUAAGUCACAACAGGGUGUAUCAACUUGUGUUGUUGAUAAGGGAUUGGGCUAGUGGACUGGAUAAUAUUUGAUGGACUGAAGUUGGGCUAGUGCAACUUCAGUAUACUUCUAUAUUAGUGUUUACACAUGAUUGGGUGAACGAAGAUAUUGUCCAUGGAUGCAACCUCAAAGAAGAAAAAAAGAAAUAAGAAAGGUCUGACGUUCCAUCAUAUAGUGCCUUUUCGACUACAACUGGUGACUACACAAAGAAAUAUGAAUUAGAAAGUAAGUUUCUAGCAGGCUGUACAUCAUUCAUAACUGAAGGCUUUGAUGGUGACUGGUUCAUGCUUGCUGUUUUCAGAAAAGAAAAACACUAAAUGAUUUUGUCAGGUGCUUCGUCAUAAUGUGCCUCUUCGACUACAACUGGUGACUACAUAAAGAAGUAUAUGAAUUAAGAAGUAUGUUUCCUGCAGGCUGAUCUUCAUGCAUAACUGAUGGCUUUGGUGAUGACUGGUCCAUGCUUGAGUAUUUCAGACAAAAAUGAGAAAUGAUUAAGCCGGCUUCUCGGUUAUAUAGAAGAAAAGUAAACUGUAGGUAAACUGCAUAAUAGUGGGUGCUAAAGUUUUGCUAAAAGCCUGAAAAAUUGGCAUAAAUGUAGGAAUUUUGGAAAGAAGGGCUGAACUUCUAUCAACUGCCCAAUUUAGAAUGUUCAACCGAAAACCCCACUACCCAUGGUUAUAGGAUGCUAAAAUUGUGGAGAUCAUGGGCAAGAGUUGUGGAGAUCAUGGCAGCAAAGGUGGACCUACCAAAACUGUCAGAAAACUUCCAUCAACCGCCACAAGAGCGGUUAUUUUUGAGAGUUUAAACGGCUGAGAUUUCAUCUCAGCAUGAUCUGACGGUGGAUAUCGAUUUAGAAAGUAGUUAGACUUAAUGGGUUUAAUGUAUAUAUAUAAUUCACUUCUUCUAUUUUUUUCCUAUUCAAUUCUCUUUUUCACACUUCAUUAACAAUACCACCAUCGCCAUCCAUUCAAUUCUCUUUUUCACACUUCAUUAACAACACCACCAUCGCCACCACCCACCCACCGCUGUUGCCUCUCGUCACAAUCACCCACCUCCGCCGCCACCCAUCGUCGUCAGCAUCACCGCCGCCACCACCACCACCGUCGUCGCCUCCACCGACACCACCACGACCACUGCCACCCACCUUCGCUGUGACACCCCAGGAAAACCAGGAAACAACACAACACCACUAGCUUCCUCAGUAACCACGUGCUAAAUUUCGGGACAAAAUUUCUUUCAAGUUGGGGAUAAUGUGACAACUCGAGUUUCCAAGAUUCCAUCUUCGCAUUUAAUUGCAUGUAAUUGUUUAAGUUGUUUGUUUACACGACUUGUUUGUUUCAUAACUGUACACGUUAGCAAUAUCUUAAAGCGUAUUGUGGAUGAUAUGUUAUAUCUGAUGUGUAUUUAGUGUGUUAUUAAGUGUGUUGUAUAAAAUUGGUGUGCAUCAUAAUUGAGUAUGAGUUAAUAGUAUAUUUGGUAUUAUUGUUCACUGUUUAAAUUGGAACCAUAGCCGAAAACACUUUCCCCCUCACCCACGAA